AGGCUCAGAUUGAACGCUGGCGGCAGGCCUAACACAUGCAAGUCGAGCGGAUGAGAAGAGCUUGCUCUUCGAUUCAGCGGCGGACGGGUGAGUAAUGCCUAGGAAUCUGCCUGGUAGUGGGGGACAACGUUUCGAAAGGAACGCUAAUACCGCAUACGUCCUACGGGAGAAAGCAGGGGACCUUCGGGCCUUGCGCUAUCAGAUGAGCCUAGGUCGGAUUAGCUAGUUGGUGAGGUAAUGGCUCACCAAGGCGACGAUCCGUAACUGGUCUGAGAGGAUGAUCAGUCACACUGGAACUGAGACACGGUCCAGACUCCUACGGGAGGCAGCAGUGGGGAAUAUUGGACAAUGGGCGAAAGCCUGAUCCAGCCAUGCCGCGUGUGUGAAGAAGGUCUUCGGAUUGUAAAGCACUUUAAGGUGGGAGGAAGGGUUGUAGAUUAAUACUCUGCAAUUUUGACGUUACCGCCAGAAUAAGCACCGGCUAACUCUGUGCCAGCAGCCGCGGUAAUACAGAGGGUGCAAGCGUUAAUCGGAAUUACUGGGCGUAAAGCGCGCGUAGGUGGUUUGUUAAGUUGAAUGUGAAAUCCCCGGGCUCAACCUGGGAACUGCAUCCAAAACUGGCAAGCUAGAGUAUGGUAGAGGGUAGUGGAAUUUCCUGUGUAGCGGUGAAAUGCGUAGAUAUAGGAAGGAACACCAGUGGCGAAGGCGACUACCUGGACUGAUACUGACACUGAGGUGCGAAAGCGGGACAAACAAACAGGAUUAGAUACCCUGGUUAGUCCCCGCCGUAAACGAUGUCAACUAGCCGUUGGGGACCUUGAGAUCUUUGUGGCGCAGCUAACGCAUUAAGUUGACCGCCUGGGGAGUACGGCCGCAAGGUAAAACUCAAAUGAAUUGACGGGGGCCCGCACAAGCGGUGGAGCAUGUGGUUUAAUUCGAAGCCACGCGAAGAACCUUACCAGGCCUUGACAUCCAAUGAACUUUCCAGAGAUGGAUUGGUGCCUUCGGGAACUCUGAGACAGGUGCUGCAUGGCUGUCGUCAGCUCGUGUCGUGAGAUGUUGGGUUAAGUCCCGUAACGAGCGCAACCCUUUUCCUUAGUUGCCAGCACGUUAUCGUGGACACUAUAGGGAGACUGCCGUGGACAAAUCGAAGGAAGGAGGGAAUAACGUCAAGUCAUCUUGGCCCUUACAGCCUGGGUUCUCCGUGGGGAUGACGUCCAGU
rnacentral:rRNA from 1 species